rnacentral:rRNA from 1 species
CGAACGCUGGCGGCGUGCUUAACACAUGCAAGUCGAACGGUGAAGCGCCUUCCUUUUUGGUGGGUGUGGAUGAGUGGCGAACGGGUGAGUAACACGUGAGUAACCUGCCCCCUUCUUCUGGAUAACCGCAUGAAAGUGUGGCUAAUACGGGAUAUUCUGGGUCUGUCGCAUGAUGGGUCUGGGAAAGAUAUUGUUUCGGUGGGGGAUGGGCUCGCGGCCUAUCAGCUUGUUGGUGGGGUGAUGGCCUACCAAGGCGGUGACGGGUAGCCGGCCUGAGAGGGUGGACGGUCACACUGGGACGGAGACACGGCCCAGACUACUACGGGAGGCAGCAGUGGGGAAUAUUGCACAAUGGGCGCAAGCCUGAUGCAGCGACGCCGCGUGAGGGAUGGAGGCCUUCGGGUUGUGAACCUCUUUCGCCAGUGAAGCAGGCCUGCCUCGUUUGUGGGUGGGUUGACGGUAGCUGGAUAAGAAGCGCCGGCUAACUACGUG